AAAAAGGGCCCCCCCCCUUUUAAAAAUUUUUUGGGGAAAACCCCCCCCCUUUUGGGAAAAUUUGGGGGGAAAAAUUUUUUAAAAAAUUUUUUUUAGGGGUUUUUGGGGCAAAAUUUUUUUUGGGGGGGGUUAAUUUUUAAAAAAAAAACCCCCCCC